rnacentral:rRNA from 1 species
GUGGGGAAUAUUGGGCAAUGGGCGCAAGCCUGACCCAGCAACGCCGCGUGAGGGAAGAAGGCUUUCGGGUUGUAAACCUCUGUCCUUGGUGACGAAACAAAUGACGGUAGCCAAGGAGGAAGCCCCGGCUAACUACGUGCCAGCAGCCGCGGUAAUACGUAGGGGGCGAGCGUUGUCCGGAAUUACUGGGCGUAAAGGGUGCGUAGGUGGCCUUUUAAGUUGGAUGUGAAAUACCCGGGCUUAACUUGGGGGGUGCAUCCAAAACUGGGAGGCUAGAGUGCAGGAGAGGAAAGCGGAAUUCCUAGUGUAGCGGUGAAAUGCGUAGAUAUUAGGAGGAACACCAGUGGCGAAGGCGGCUUUCUGGACUGUAACUGACACUGAGGCACGAAAGCGUGGGGAGCAAACAGGAUUAGAAACCCUGGUAGUCC